UGUAAGUCAAUUACCAGACUACUAGUUCAGUGCAAACAUUUCUGUAAGUAAGAAUACUGACUUGUUUUAAGAGGAUGGUGUUUAUUUUUAACAACUACGCACUAACUAGUACCUGUUCUCUCCCUGCCACAGUUCCAGAGUUAUCAGUAGGCUAGAUAGAAGGUGACCUCUCCUCAUAAGGACUUGGACAACUCAGAUUAUCUGAAGACACAAACCUGACAGGAGGGAGAAGAUAAAACAAAACACUUGAAGCAAGAAACUCAAAUGUAAUCCUAUGAUCAAAGCAACUGGUGAACACUUCCAUCAGAAGUGAAAAUAGGAAGCUCAUCGGAUAGAACGUCAGCCCAAGAGAUGUUUGCAGCAUAUCAUUUUGUUGCAAGCAGCAUGUCGCUUCUGCACAAUCAGAGACUGUCUCGAUCUCUCCACUCACCGUGGAAGUUGCCUUGUGCCUAAACUGAAUUGACAAAUGCAUUGUAACUACAAAUUUUAUUUAUUGUUAUGGAACUGUAAGGUCUACAUAUAAAGGGAAAAAGUUAAAUGUGGAAAGCUGAUGUAUACUCAGCUGAUGCCAGCAUUUGUUAAAGCUGUUCACGUGCAGAGAACAAAGCAGUGACAACCAUUGGCCCUUAGCAUUCCCGGCAUACCUGUUAGUGUCUUAAAAAGGAAGGGAAAAGUCUUUUGUUGCCCUCUCCUAUCCUUUUGCCAUAUGAAUAGUGUUUUCCAUGAAAUAGGAAAAUAUUACUUGAUAUAGCAUUUCUCUCGCUCUCAUUUUUCAUUCAUUUUUAUUUUCUCUUCAUGGGUGUUAUACUUGAUCUUUGAAUCUGAGUAGUUUAUGGUCACAGUCCAGAAUUCUCCAUGCAGCCCUGUGUGCUCUGUACAUCCACCUUAUAGUGGUAAGCAGAGACUAUCUGUGACCAUAGCCUUGCUAAGAUUUUAAAAGGGGAAAUUUCAACCCCCUAGGUUUUCCCCCCAAGUAAAUAUUGCUUUAUUUCUAAUAAUAACCAAGACUUUUCAAGCUUCUAGGUUUCAUAGUAAAGCUUGUAAUAAUAGCAAGAAGUGUAAAUUACAAGGGAAGAAUCUACUUUUUAGAAAUUGCUUUGUUUUCCAAGCAGUAAGUACUACAUAAUAUAGUACUUGUAAAGUGUUAGCUGUAAGUAAGCACAAGAUACGUUUAAAAUACAAAGAUGAUUUUUCAGGCUGUGAUUAUGGUGAACAAAACAAAACCCAGUAGUCACCAAGGCAGGUAGUGUGAUAAAUGAACACACCACUCUGAGGCUAAUUACCUAAUGGAAUACAAGAGCAAUGGUCACCCAUGUUUCCUUAUCCGAGCCUUUAUUUCUCUGUCAUUUGGAUGGCUGGUCAGUGGGGAGGAAUUCAGUGGGUGAUUUAAUCAACUGCAAACCAUCUGCCCCCGUCCCAAGAAGAGGAGCCAGAUUAGCAUUAAACCAGUAUGCGUCAGCCCUUUGUAAUACUGUGCACUAAGGCACUCUCUGUCUCUAACCCUUAGGAGUUGUUUUUUAAGUCAUAGUCAUCACGCUGAACUUCCACGAAAUCUGUCUUCCACCACAACCACCCUGGGAGAGAAAAACAUGCUAAACAAGGUUGUCUUGGCUUAGUAAUUCCUUAUAGCCAGUAUCAACAAUGGCAAUCAGCACACAGAAGAGAGAGCCCAAAUCACUAUGUAACUUAAAGAUUUCUGUUAAUUUGAAAGAACAAAAACAAUUAAGAGAACUGCAUAUCCUCCAAUCAGGAUGAUUCCUAACAAAUCAGCUAUUUGUGAACUUGGUGGACUUUUUGGUUACCUUAAUUUGCAUAUAUUCUCCAAUUACAUCAGAAUCUAUCUGUGGCCUUGUUCUUCAUUUCAGUGUUAAUCAGCUAAACAGAAGUUGUUGCUUAUGAUGUGUGAGUGAACAUAUGCCACUGCCUGGCCUUUUUUCUUCGGAGCUUGUUGUCUUUUUCGCUAUAUUAGACUUUGCAGUAUGCCCAGAAGCUUUCCUUCAUAAAAUAGAAAGAAAAAAACAUUUGGCUUAUUUUUCACUGUAGCUAGUCUUUUAUACAAUAAUCUUGUAAGAAAAUUUCUUGAAUUCUAAAUAUUACUCUUUCUAGAUUUUUGAAAUCGAAAGUUUUCAGUAAAAAGUUUCUUACUUUAUUUUAUUAUAUUAGGUAGUAAAAAUGUAGGGUUAUUUACCAUAACCUGUUCAUUAAUAUCAGAAAUUUACAAUAGCAUUUUAAGACCAUAGUAGGAUUCUAGCAUACCGUGUAGUACCUAUGGAGUAUUGUAAGAGCUACUUGUUCGAGAUGAAUUGCUUCUCAUCUUGUUCUCCAGUUUCCAUUGUUGGUUUAUUGCAGAUUUGUAUCCUGUGUCAAAUUCAAGGUAUUAUUGAUAAACCUUUUCAACCAGCAGCAAGAAGUUCAAAAUUUUUUCUGUCACUGUAACAGAAAACACAAUAUGUAUAUAACAUUUAUGUAGCAAUAAAUGUGCCAUCUUUUUUUUAACAUAGUAAACUAGUGAGUUUUUUACAUUCCUUUUUCCCACAUAAUAAUGUAUUGUUUUCUUUUCUGUAUCUCAUCUUUCCCAGAAAGGCUUAUGUGCUUGUCCUGUCUGCAUAAUCUGCGUUUUUCUGAGAAACAACAGUAAGACAUCAGUGGACUGGAAGAACUAGGGUGAUAUCUAGCUUGUAGCUUCUCCAGGUUGUGCGUUUCUCUUGUACUUUCUACUGAUAGUGGCCUUUAGCCUUUAUCUAAAGGUUGGACAAACAGCAGUUAGUAGCUAAAGAAAAUCUGCUCUUGUAGAUCUGGAGGGAAAUGAAGACAAUGGAAGGACAGGAGUGAGGCUUUUCAAGUUAAUAUCCCUUAAGGCACUUUUACAUUUCUCAUGUCCAGUUUUUAGCACCACCACCCCCCACCAAAAAAAAAAAAAAAAAUCCUAGUGAUUAUCUAGGAGAACUUCAUGUCAAUCAAGAACCAGAGAUAGUGACUUUGUAGAGGGCCUUUGCUUAAGCAGCCCAAGGAUGGUAUCUGACCUGUUAAGAUUGGUUCUCUGAAUUUUGAAUGUGCUUUUCACUUUGGGGGCCCAGCAGAGGAUUUUACUUAUUGUGGGAUUCAGUAAAAACAAACUUUUUUGGUUUGAUUUUACACAAAAUGAUAAACUAAAAAGCUCCACCCAAAAAGAAAAUAUACAAUGUUAGAGCUGAAAUUAAAUCUGGAGAUCAUCUAGUACAACCACCUCGUUUAUAAAUUUAUAAAAACUAAGGCUCAGAAAGCUCACAUCUCCAAGAGCACAGAAUUAGAACAGAUCAAAACACUUACAACUUGUCAUACAAACCUCCAUGCAUUUACUUUCUCUUCUUUCUUUUUACAGAUGUCUAGAUCUAAUCUAUUCAGGCUUUAUUUUCCUCUAUUUGUUUCCAUUCAUGUUUCUUCUAGCUCAUACUUUUUUCUUCCCUGAAAACUCAGAUUUUAAAUAAAUAUCAUGAGAGUGGUGUGUGUGUGUGUGUGUGUGUGUGUGUGUUAGAAGUUGAAAAUGUUGGUUUUGGCAUCAAACAGUCCUUGAUUCAAAUCCAGAUUCAACAUCUAAUUAACUCCAUUUCCUUAUCUGAAAAAUGGAGAUACUUACAAGACUUGUUUAAGUACUGAAUGAAACAAUGUAUGGAAAGCUCUUACCAUG
rnacentral:lncRNA from 1 species